UAUAAAAUAUAUUAACGCGCAUGUGAGACAGCUGUCAAUUCGCAAAAUGGCGGCACGCGUUCAAAAUUCUUCGCGGCAAAGGUAACAAGUUCAUGAAAUAUUAUCUGCUUUGGAGUGUGAGGAGGUUGAUGAUUAUACAGAAAAUAUAAUUUACGUUGAGCCGCCCAUCGAUGCCGAUUAGGUUACUGACGAAGACAGUGACAAAAUCCGAUGACGAGCAUGGUGCGAACCUAACUCACUUAGGACGAGGACUGCUGCAAGCUAACUGCGAAUUGCGACGUUUUCGAGGUGAUAGCAAUUUUUGUUCUCCAUCAACGUCUACAACUCUUGGUUCAAAUACGCGGCAAUCGUCGAAUGAUCAUUCUUUAUCAAGUAGCGAUAGCGAAGACGAGCAGCCCCUUUCUACUUUCAUUACACAUAACAAGUCUUCAAGUUCUGAACCCCCAACUAAAAAGAAAAAAUCUACACAUUGGACAAAAGACAAACCCGCUUUUAUUUGUACUGAAUAUCGUUUACAGCCACCAUCAGAUGAAAGUAAAAGAUGUCAAAAUCCUCUGGACUACUUAUGGCUGCACAAGAGAAACUGAGUCCUUAUUCGUUUUUAGACGUUUCAUAGCAAGAAGCUUACUUUCGUCACAUGGCACACCACCACAUCAAGGUCGCAAGCCAGUGAAACCAUUAUGUACAUUGAGGUACGACGGUAAAGAUCUGGCCCAAGGCUGGUCCCAAUAAGAACUGAACGUCGGUGUGAAAACCAAUGUGGAGGAAAAAGUAAAUUUCAGUGUCAGAAAUGUGAUGUGGGUUUUCACCCGAAAUGCCAUAUGGCAUAUCACAUCAUGCAUUAAAAUACGUUUAUUUUCUGUUGCUUUUUAUAAUAAAUUUCUUCAUAAAAUCCGUACUUUUAUUCAACCUCUUUUUAACAUCAAUUGUGUCCGCCGUGCAUAACGUCCGAUUUAACGGACGGGCUAUAAAAUCUGAACUUUUACAUAAACUAAAUAUUUCAUGUAAUUUAAUCGUUAAAGAUACCCUAAAAGAUGAUAUGUUACAGUGAUCAUAAUGAAAAAGGCGUUAAUAAACUUUAUGCACUAAUGGGUUAA